rnacentral:rRNA from 1 species
ACGAACGCUGGCGGCGUGCUUAACACAUGCAAGUCGAACGGAAAGGCCCUGCUUUUGUGGGGUGCUCGAGUGGCGAACGGGUGAGUAACACGUGAGUAACCUGCCCUUGACUUUGGGAUAACUUCAGGAAACUGGGGCUAAUACCGGAUAGGAGCUCCUGCUGCAUGGUGGGGGUUGGAAAGUUUCGGCGGUUGGGGAUGGACUCGCGGCUUAUCAGCUUGUUGGUGGGGUAGUGGCUUACCAAGGCUUUGACGGGUAGCCGGCCUGAGAGGGUGACCGGCCACAUUAGGACUGAGGUACGGCCCAGACUCCUACGGGAGGCAGCAGUGGGGAAUAUUGCACAAUGGGCGGAAGCCUGAUGCAGCAACGCCGCGUGCGGGAUGACGGCCUUCGGGUUGUAAACCGCUUUCGCCUAUGACGAAGCGUGAGUGACGGUAAUGGGUAAAGAAGCACCGGCUAACUACGUG